rnacentral:misc_RNA from 1 species
AGAGAGAGAGAGAGAGAGAGAUAUCCAACUCCAAAUCAAAGUUAGAUGCCUCAAGGUGAUUGCAUUCAUCCUCAUUACGUGAACAAAUUAUGAUGGCAUCCUUUGGUUUAAAGGUCACGUCCUUAAGCUCUUCGGAAUCAUCGUCCUGAAUAAAACUUGUCCUACCAUAGAUGCCCAAGAUAAAGAAAUUAUACAAAAGUGGUCAAACUUACAUCCUUGGUCAAACUUACAUUCUUAUCUUUUGGAUAGGGGUCCAUAUCAUUGCUUGGGUAGUACAGGUACCAUGACCUGUGCUGAAUAGUUCAAUGCCCAAGAUUCACAGAUGCACCAUUAGUUGUAUACCCAUUAUGAAGGUAGUCGCAAAAUAUCAUUCAGCAUAAACAAAAACAGUUGCCCAACAAAUUAAACAACUACAAUCCACAGAUUUAAUGAUAACAUAAUCAGCAUUAAUCAACAAUUAAACAAUCAAUCCUAACUUUCCAACUGGCCAACAUAGUGGCCACACGCACUCCUUUUCAUUUCUCAAAACAUAAUAGAUAAAUAAUAAGUAAAUACCAGAUAAGAAAGAAAGAAAACUAGACACAUUCCCAGGAUACCUUCGUCGUCGUCCUCAUAACGUUCCAUGUCAAGUUCCCCGAGGCCAUCACCUAUGUCAAUAAACUUGGUGGUUGAAUUGUCAUUUUUGUGAGUUCUACCAAGUGCUACAACAAAUGCGUGGAUUAGUUCAUCAGUCUGCCAGCCAGUAUCAACAUCCAUCUUCAUAUCUUCCUUACUGCCACUAUCUCCAAUGCAUAAACCAAGAGUAUGCAUCAAAAACUUCUUGAAUGCAAUCCCUUGAUCACAAAGGAUUAGCGUUAUUGACUAAAGAAUUUGAUAAUUUCCUCCUAAAAAACAGAGUAAAUGAAAACAAACAAGUAAACCGUUCCGCCACCGCUGGGCCAGACAUGGAAAACCCUUCGGAACGCAUGAAACUGUAGCUAUCAUUUUUUGGCAGCCACUGAUACCAAAACUCAAUCGAAUUGGUGAAAUUGAGAGAGAAAUAUGAAAGAAUUGUUGAAAUUGGAGCUGUAUUGUAGUAAAUUGGAGCUGUA